GAGCCUGGCUGCACCUCUCCUAGACCCCAUUUAAGGGCUGACUGCCACUAGGGAAAGAUCUCUUUCUGGAGAUUGCUCUCUUUGGAGUUUUUUCUGUGAGCUUAGGGCACGGGUGAGCAUUUUUGUUUAUUUUUUUAUUAUCCCCUUUCCACUGUGAUAAUCCUUCUAGUUAUAUGACCUGCAAAAUGCCAGCCUAACCAUGCCACUCUGCUAAUUGUACUUGUUGAUUGUGCAGCAUGUAUGUGGGUUGUGGAAACCAGGAGUUGAGCACAGAGCAGUCCCAUACAGGUCUGUAUCAGGUGCAAUUUACUGAACACUUUUGACAGAUAAACUUUGAUAUUACUCUAGAAGAUACUGCCAAGUAAGUCAAUAGGAAUCAUGCUCAUUUAAAUAGGAGCUCAGACUGACUUGCAGCAAAAAGUACUUCAUUUCAAACAGUAUUGUAUCCCCAUUCAUUUUGUUUUAACUGAACUGCUCAGAAAUAUUUAAACAGAGAAGAGCAAAAUCUUAGCAACUACAGCAGGAUUCAGAGGACACUGUGUCAAAUUUGAGGGGAGAGGGAUUUGCGUUUCCAAAACAAAAUAAAGCAAGGAAAGUGAUGCAGCUGCAGGGCCACUGCCAUCUAGCGAGGCACUGCUAUGUGCUGCACAGCAGGACUGGGGGGCUGAGGGCAGCCAUGGCUGCUUUCUCUCCCUCCACCCACACUGAAGGUCACGGAAUGGCAUCCAGAGGUUACUGACAGUACUGACACAUUUAUUUCCUUUUUUUGUUUGUUUGUUUGAUGGUUUUUUUUACUACUACAUGUAAAGGGAUUUUUUUUUUAAAUUCUCUUAAGGAAUACUUCACCUGUACAUCAUGUAUGAAAUAGGAAUGUGAACAUUAUAUACUCUUCUUUAUCAAAUGUUUCAAGCACUUAACUUGCUUUGUAAACAGUGUUUGGGGGGCUUUUUGUUCUUGUUGUUUUGUAUAAAUCAAAUGUUUAUUGCAGCAAAUAAAAUAACACCGACUCAAAUUUGUCUUUCAUCUCUGGAGCAUCCAGAAUAAGGAGGGGGCUCUUGCUAAAAUGAUCCCUAACCUAAAAGGAUUUAUUUUCAUCCCUUUUCACCAGAUGUCCAGCUGCCACUGCAUGUGUCCUUCUGUGCUGCUAUCUCAUCUGGAGAGCACCAGCAAAGGGAUGCAGAGUGGCCAUUCCUUCACCAUGUAAAACCUUCUCUGGUCAUAGGGAGGGGACGGAAGCGGGCUCACAGCUGACUCUCUACUAUUGUUAGCUCAAUCACAAGUGCAGCCACAAAGAAGAUGGAACAAAGCCUGCUCCAGUCCAUCUGCCUGUGGCUCCCGAAUGCCGUUCAUACCACCUUUAUUACUUGGAAGAAAUUCAUGCAAGUGGGCUCACACCAUGUGCAUGGUCAGAAGACACUGGUGGUUGCCAAGACUGCUAGUCUCAUCCCAGCACUCAGCAUAGUCCAGGAAACCCAGGCCACCCAGCCACAUGCCCACCAUAGGCAUCACACACCAGGUACCUCCAUGGGGCCAUGCACACUGCUCCCUCAGGAGAAGGAAGGGCUCACUUUGCCCCAGAGUCACCCCGCUGGGCUUCCUCUCACAGAAGCACCCCUUUGUGUUUCCUGGAUGAGGUAAAAAGUAUCUUUCUGUUUCUCAGAUAGUAGACAGGAUAAAUCUGUCCUGGGAUAAACAGUCUGUCUGCCUGUACGUCCAGUCUUUAUAUGCUGAUUUUCCUGUAAACUAUGUAAAGACAUAGAGGGCUUCUGCAACGAUCCAUCCAGGUUGCUCUGACCAUCCCGUAAAAUAAGAUCAUAAAUACAUCAAUAUUAAAUUGGAAUGCAUGCACUGGCAGUCUAUGAAGAAUGCCUCCCAGACUUGUAGAUUCAGCAAUUGCUGUGAAAAUACGAGGUCUGCUCAGGGCUGCUUCUGUGAAUCAUUGUGAUGAUCACUCGAAAAUCAUUUAAAGUGAAACACCAUUUUUAAAAGAGCAAAGCCUUUUGUACAGGGUGUAUGAAUGCCUGAAACGACAAAACCGACAUUUCAUCUUUCUUUGCUCUAACAACACUAAACUGAAGGCUCCCAGGGAAAGGCCCCAGUGAGAAAACCCAGAGAGCAGCUGCUCCCAGCCCCAGGAGGAAGUACUGUGUGAUGCUGCUCCAAAGUGCUGCCCCAAGGAGACUACAUGGGUUCACACAGCUCAUCCCAAAUAUCCCAUCCAUAGGAAAGGCACUUGCAGCCAAUGCUGUUUCUGAAGGGUGAGCUUUCCUCCUUGGGUGAAAAUUGAAGCCAGGGAGUGAUCCUCUUCAAUCAAGGUGCUUGCUGUCUGUUAUCCAUACGGUGUUCUUGGAGGCAGAAAGAGAGCAGCUACAGCUUUAAUUAGCUAAAAGGUUUUGAGCAGGACAUAAAUCUCAUCCCAAGAUUUCUAAUUUUCCAGUUGUUAAGCCUUGCACUCUUUCACACAGACAUCCUCAUGCUUUUGCUGCAGCUAACCCCCCUGUGAUGACCAGGAGCAGCAUUUCCUUCACCAACACUUCGGCAUUGUCAGCGAGGAGGAGUCUGCAAAAGCAUUGUGCAGGGGAUUAGAGUUACAACUUCCUUGGGAUGCUCUGAAUGACACAGCAAAGUGCUCCCGUGUUUCAAGGCAUUAACAGCAUCUCCCACCGAGAAUGGGGCAUUCAGCCCAAGUACUUCUGGAGAGGAUAUAUAUGUCUUAUUAAAUAAGGAAAAGAAGAAGGCAAGUUCAUUUCACUGCAGGAAUGUUAACAUUUGUGAAUGUACGUCUUGAAUUCACUUAUGGAAUGGUAGCUUUUAAGAAACCAAUCUUAACAGAUCCAAAGGAAAUGGAAAAAAGAAUUUAAAUGAACUUACUUCAUCCAUUUAUAAAUUGUUUAGGUUAAUCACAGAAAACCAAACAGGAAUCGGCUGUACUUAAACACAGCCUUUGCUCUUGUAUAAACUGUUUAUUAUAUCCAUGACACACAACCAGACAAAAUUCAUUCCUGAGCUGGGGAACAGUCUAAUUUGGUUUUAUUAGUUUUAGAGAAAAACAUUUUGGCAGAAGAUCUACUUUAGAAUGUAAAAUAUUUUCGUAUCUUUCUCAAGAAAAUUUUCCCAAAAGAGAUGCAGCAGUUUCCCUCCAACAUCUCUGGAUAAGUAAAUUGGUCCAAAGACCAAAAAAAGCCCUUCCCUGGGCUUUUCUCUCCAUGACUACAAAGGGAACCACCAGGGAACCUGGGCUCGUAAAACAGAUGUGGAAAGGACCUCUUUUUUAAAUGUCUCAUGCAAGUAUCUGAGGAAAUAGCCCACCUACAAUGUCAUCUGAUCAGUCUAAAUACUCCAGGAUGGGAGCAAUGGCCUUCUUCUCUUCCAGUUCUGGUGUUUUUAGGAAGGAAAACAUAAAAACAUAGAAAAGAAAACCCUUCAGGAAGAACUUCACAAUGGCAAGGAAACGUGGCUGAAACAGCCAAAAUGUUUGGUAUUUGUGUGUUUGUAUCAGUCUUCUUUCAAGGCUGGAUAGGCCAUGGGGAACCUGACUGAGCUGUGCAUGUCCCUGUUCAUUGCAGGGGAGUUGGACUAGAUGGCCUUUGAAGGUCCCUUCCAACUCUAAGGAUCCAUGAUACUAUUAUGUUCUUUCUAGCAACAAUCAGGCAAUUAAAGAUCUUUUUUUUUUUUUAAGAUAGCACAGGGUAAUAGUAGCAUAGAAAAUUUUACAUGUAUUGCAUUGUUUCAAACCUGCUGAGCUGGGUGAAAUUCUUCCUUGGUUUCCAAAAAGAUUAGCAGAAGCAAUUUUAGAUCCCUUCGUGCUUAUCUUUGCACUUGUCCAGGGUAAAAGUCAGCAUGGAGACAUCAUGGUUUGAUUUCCUGCUGAGCAGUAUCCCUUGUAAAUGGAGAAGAUACAGUAAACAUGUUGAGUUGUGAAAGGCUUUCGACAUCGCCUGAAAUGCCAUUCUUGUUAGCAAACGAAGGAAGUGUUGUCUAAAUUCAAGUAAGGAGUGGGCGCAAAUCUGACUUGAAAGACAUAAUAAUUACCAAGUACAUCCCUACGAGCUUCUCAGCGCUGCUCCACGGUCACCUGGGUCUAUUGCUACUCAGUAUUUGAAAUAGUAGCCUAGGUGAUGGACUGGAACAUGUGCUUAUUAAAUUUGCAAGCAUUCUUGUGCUGCAAGAGGCUGCAAGCAUGCUGCAGCAUGGAAUUCCAAUUCAAAUUGCUCUUGACAGAUUUGAAUAAGUGUUUUGAAAAAGCCCGAUCUUCUUUUUAGCAAGGACACUUGAUCAGGACUAAUUCUGUCUUCAGCCAUCUAAUGGGGAAAAGCCAUGCAGAGCAGUUAGCCACAAUGCUCUACUGGGCAGAAUGGAGCCCAAAUCUAGCAAGAGUCAAUAGUGACUUGCUGUUAUACAGGAAGGCAAACAUCAUACUGUGAUGUAUCAGCAGCAGCAGUGGCUGUAAGUAGCCUUUCCCCUCUUUGAAACCCUGGUAAGGUCUCAGAGGACUGGUCUGGCAAUAGCCUUUGAAUGCACAGAAUUUGCAAAGAGGAAAAAUGCGUUGUCUCACGAGUGGUUGUCCCCCCAGAUCAGAAGGGAGAAUAAAGAUAAGUCAUUAAGAUAACCUCACAGGAAGUCUUCAGGAUGUUCAGAAUUCAAGAUAAUGAAUUACAGGCUACACCAUCUGUCUGGUAUCACUGAUCCCAUCUCAAGAUGGACAGCACAGCAUCUCGAUGAAAUCUUGGGAUCCUUUCCUGCCAGAGGGGCUGCAGUUUUCUCUUUGGUCUCAGUUUCCAAGGUUCUGACUGCAGGGAAGUCAAGAAGCCAGAAAUUUUGUUCUAUGAGAAUUUCAAAAUGCAUGGUGCUAUGAAAAUAGGACAUCCUCUUUCAUAACUAACUUUAGAACAGCCGUGUUUCGCAUGGAAAGGAAAAUAUUUUAAAAAACAUUCAUUUUCAUUGCUUCAGAAUAAAAUCAAGCCUGAAAGCAGCAUUCUGAGGCUUAAAUGUGGCCAGCAAGCUCCUGCCAACAUUUUCAGUCUUGGUGAAGAGCAAGUGUUAGGACUCAUUGCUCAGCUGAGGGGCUCUUGGGGAUCUGCAGGUCUCAGGGCACCUGAGCUCCCCAUUGCUCAGCAAAACCCUCGAUGCCUGCAUGCAUCAAUGUCACCAUGAGAUAUACACCGUGGCAACGUCCCCAUCACCACGUGGGCAUUAUGAAAGGCUCACCAUUAGACUGCAUUGUCACUCUGCAUGUAUUCAGUAGUGUCCAUUGAAAUCCAAUGGUUUUCACAGAAAACUUGGCCUGGAGCAAAGCAACGUUUUCUGACAUCUGUCACAUAUGUCAUGUCCAAGAAUGCUCUUUGGAAGAAACAUCCUUUGGUUUCAGAAGUUUGUUACCAGAAGAAACACCAGUAGAUGGAGUACAACGCCAGGCAGCACUGCUCUGCACUGCUAUAAAACCCAUCAAUGCCAUAGCCCUUCCCUGCCCACAGCUUGUGAAAACAGACCUGCAAAACCGCUGCCAAGCUCAUGCCCAGCUCAGGUUUUUCCUGCUGCCAUGUUCUGGAUAAGGGCUAGUUCUGCUUUCAUGUUCAGCACGUCAUUUCUUGGCUGACUUAAUUAAUGUGGCACUUAGGCUUAGCUCAUAGUGUUCAUGCCAUCUUCACAUCCACCCCCACAGUUUUUCACAAGCGUUUACCACACACUAGCUCUUAUCAGAAAGUUUUUGCAGCUUUUUGCUGCAUCUUUAACAGUUUUCCCAAAGCCACAGUGCAAGUUUUCAUGAAAAAAAAUGGACGAUUUAACUUGCUUAUGCAUCAUUCUUCAAUAAAACAAUACAAUUAACAUUUCUUUCUGCCACACUUUGCUUUAGUUUCCCAAGGCCAUGCUGGUCUCCCCUUUUGUACAGAGUAUAGCAAAGCUCUGAUCUUGGUGAUCAUUUAGAUGUGACAGCAGCAGUGGGUGACAAUCACAGAAUCAUACAGAAUCACAGAAUGGCCCGGGUUGGAAGGGAC